rnacentral:rRNA from 1 species
UACAGAGGUCUCAAGCGUUGUUCGGAUUCAUUGGGCGUAAAGGGUGCGUAGGCGGUGCGGUAAGUCGGGUGUGAAAUUUCGGAGCUUAACUCCGAAACUGCGUUCGAUACUGCCGUGCUUGAGGACUGGAGAGGAGACUGGAAUUUACGGUGUAGCAGUGAAAUGCGUAGAGAUCGUAAGGAAGACCAGUGGCGAAGGCGGGUCUCUGGACAGUUCCUGACACUGAGGCACGAAGGCCAGGGGAGCAAACGGG